UGAGGAAUAUUGGUCAAUGGGCGAGAGCCUGAACCAGCCAAGUAGCGUGCGGGAUGAAGGCCCUAUGGGUUGUAAACCGCUUUUACAGGGGGAUAAAGUGAACGUCGUGACGUUCAUUGCAGGUACCCUGCGAAUAAGGACCGGCUAAUUCCGUGCCAGCAGCCGCGGUAAUACGGAAGGUCCGGGCGUUAUCCGGAUUUAUUGGGUUUAAAGGGAGCACAGGCCGGCUGUCAAGCGUGUUGUGAAAUGCCGCGGCUCAACCGUGGCACUGCAGCGCGAACUGGGGGGCUUGAGUGCGCGCAGCGCAGGCGGAACUCGUGGUGUAGCGGUGAAAUGCUUAGAUAUCACGAAGAACUCCGAUCGCGAAGGCAGCCUGCGGGAGCGCAACUGACGCUGA
rnacentral:rRNA from 1 species